UAUAUAUCGCUCUUUCUUGGGGAAUCGCGGAAUCUUUUCUUCUCUCCAUCGCCCGCCGGUCGUCAAGGAAGGCCUCAUUUCGCCGCCCAACGAAACCCUCUCCCUUUCUCUCUUCUCGCUUCGAUUCCUCCGUCGCCGCGUUAUCCGAGGAUAGGAGCUGCGAUUCAUCGAACAUGCCGACCGUUAGUGUCAAAUGGAAAAAACAAAUCUUUCCAGCCGUGGAAAUCGGCACUAGUCAACCUCCCUUUGAAUUUAAAAGUCAGUUGUGUGCUUCAAGUGGUGUAUCCCCUGAGAGGCAAAAAAUUAUGGUCCAGGGUGCUCUUCUGAAGGUAUAUGAACUUCCAUGUUAUAUGGUUUUUUAAUAAAUUUGUUCUGAAGUUAUAAGAAGCAUUUUCCUUUCACGCGGGAUGAUGCAGAUUGGACAACUUUAUGUGUCAAAGAGGUGGUUUUCUUUUCUUGAUUUUUGAUGCUUUUUAUAUCUUAUGAAUACAUAAUAUGAAGUUUUUUUAGAUAUUUGACAGGGUCAGAAGUUGUUGAUGAUGGGCACUGCAGACGAGAUAGUGCAGGCUCCAUAGAGAGGUCCUGUAUUUAUGGAGGAUUUCCCAGAAGAAGACCAAGUAGUAGCUUAAGUGAGUCUUAAUCGUAUCAUCAUCAAUCUAAGAAUCAUCCAGUUGCUGUGAUUCAUCAGAAUUCGUGUUGGACUUUUGGAUUUCCAAAAUUGACCAUCAAAUUGAAUGAUGCUAAAAUAUGCAAGAUCAGGAUCAGUUAUGAUUAGCAAUAGGAGUCGAGAUAGGAAUGUCUGACCAAAUGAGUUGAUCCUUGCUAUGCCAGCUGGGUAAGCUGAGCGAUGAAAGGAAUGUCAGCUUGAACAACCCUUGUUAAAGCUUGAGCUUGUUGGGUUAGGUUAAUGAAUGCUUCGAUGAGAAUUGUGAUACUGGGUGGGAGUGGAGUAACUGAUGGGUGGUUGAUUGCCGCAUUAUGGAAUAGUCGAUGGAAGGUAUAAAUCGGGAAGGUGGGGUUUUCGAUGGAUCCUAAAGUAAGAUUGGGGAGAGUUGGAUCCUCCUUAUUGCCCAAGAGGGACCUACAUGAUUUUCCUUGGACAUAUUGGGAGGGGCCCUCCUUUAAGCGCUAAUAUGUUAAAGCAGAUUUUGGUUGUUCGAUUGGAAUGCUGAUUUGGAACCAACCAAGCUCCUACUCUUUUCAUCUUAGCGGAAGGUGGUAUUAGGUUGAGAGGUUUCGUGAUUGUCUAAUUUGGAGCUACGUUGAACCCUACGAAACUGUGUCGGGCAUGCUCAACAAAGCUCUUGAAGCUUAAGUUAGCACUCGAAUAAGUGGUUUUAGCUAGACAUUGAGUUUGUAAAGGUUGAAUAUACUAAAAAGAGACCAGCUCGGAGAACAUGCCUAAGGAGCCCUUCUAUAUUGAGGUUUAGGAUAAUUUCACUUGAGGCUGUGGUUUAAGUCGAAAACGGCCAUGUGUCUUCUCUGGUGUUGGGUGCCAUUGUUAUACAUCGAAUCCAGAGAAUAUGAUGCGAUUGCGAGUGGGUCGUAACGUCUGGAGGGUGACAUCAUGUCAGCCACAUGGUGGUGAGGUGUCGACCAUGUGAUGGAGUGUCAACCACACGGUGAUGAGUCAUCCACGAUCAUUAUUUUGCAGUCAUUAUACCCAUAUCAUCGUCCAACCGUAAUUUGCAGUCACUAACCUCAUGAGAUCAACAAAGCCAGAUCUGCACCUGAGUCGGACCUUACUUUAAUGGAUUUAUUUGGACCAUAUAGAGGUCUAACUGCAUUUCUAGUCUGGUAUUUUAAUCUUACCUUCUCAUCAGUCAAAAUUAUGGUGUCUGAAUUUCACACCAUUAAACUUCAAGGGUUAUAUGUCAUGUAUUACAUCAUAUAACGUGUUAUAUGGGAAUCAUAAUUCCAUGUCGUUUGUCAGUUGUGUGACCCCAUUGUUGAUGCAUGAUUGAAAACUUUUCAUGUACACUUUGAGUUGUCGUUUCAUUGGCCAUCUAUUGUUGUUUAAUAACUUGAUUAUUGACAUUUUUAUGAGGUAAUGUUUCUGCAUCCAUAUGCAUGCAUGCAUGUGAACUACAUUGACAGAGAGAGAAAUAGAGCUAAUUGUUUUCAUCAAUUGUACCAUCUUUGCCACAUUGCCAAACACAAAUUCAGAACUUGUAUAAAGGUUCCACUAAGGAUCCUCUUCCCGCUUGAAGAAGAGCAGGCCUGCUGUGUGUGGCUUCACAUGGUACAGGCACCAGACCAGAGCACUGUGGAUGUGCCGCUGCAUGAUUAAUGCUUACGUAGAUUCAUAAAGCUCAUCUGUAGUCAUCAAACGACUCCUGAAAAUGAAAUUUGAAAUGGCUUUAUUAAGUUCAUUAAGCGUAGUAUCCAUAAAACAUUGGGAAGUCCCUCUGUUAUCAUUCAACUUUCAAGUUUCAUGAAGAGAGAGCUAAUUGCUUGCCACAGAAUUGCUUGAUCAUCUUUACUGUGUUGUGUUCUGAAGAAAAGGUGCAGUUAACUGGAAUUUAUGACUUGGUCGCUGUGUUGACUCACGAGGGAAGGAGUGCCGACUAUGUCUUCUGGGUGAAACAAGAAAAUGGUGCGUGCUUAAUAAGCUCAUAGGUUCUUUUAUGCUUGCUCUUUUUAUGUUCCUUGUGUAGCUCCUUUUGACGCAGGAAAAUGGAUUCAGUACGAUGAUCACAAUCCAAUCCCGCCAAGGGUAGAAAGGAUAUUACAAAGCUAUCUGGCGGCAGUAAGACUCUUCAAGAGAAAUCACACACGAUCGAUCUACAUUUUGUUUUUCUUUUCUCUUUUGAAUAAGCUCUCACAAAUGAACCAUAUAACAUUUUUUUCUGGCAGGUGAUUGGCACAUGGCAGAAACAUCUGCAUGGAUAAAAGCCCAAGCUGGUUUGAUACGAUGGAACAUUGAGAAAAAAAAAAAA